UUUGAUUGAAAGAUAAUUUGGCCAUCAAAGCAGCCACACGGCCUUCUGAAACUCUGGCUGAAAGCUUUCUGAGCACAGCAAGGGUCAAACAAGUGACCGGGCGGAGCUCGGCGGAAUUUGGAAAAAGGGAAAGGAUUCUUGGAAUACACGCCUGUGUGACAUACUCACCCAUGAACACUCACCUGAGGGUCAGUGCUCACAGGGUGACAUGGUAGGCACCUCUCGAAAGUUGUAAAGGGACCUUUAGGAAUGUGGCCACGAGAUGGACACUACUUAGACAUGAUGUGGGCCUCUUUCUCAUUGGACCAGGGACUUCAGAUAAAGGAUAAGACCCAGGAGGCUGGGCCUCAGAAGGACCAAUUUACAGGGCAUUUUGAUAGUGAACCAAUUAACCUCUUCUACCUAUAGGGCUCAGACAAAAGAUAGUUGGGCUCAGGAUGCAUUCUGGGAGCACUGCCGCGUGUGGGUGGUAAUGAUGUGUCAGAAGUUCUUUUUCAGAUGGGCUAAGUAGACUCCAGUCCUAUAUGGAAUGUCCGAGGCUGUGUCAGAGAAACACAAAGGUCUCUUCUGCCUCCCUUCCUGGGUUCUAGGAUUCUUCUGAAAAGAACCCUAAUGCUAACUAGAAGGUAGAAGAGUGGAAGCCCAGACACAGAUUAAGGAGUACACAUAGGUUCGGCCACAAUGGAGAUCAGGGAGGGAGGAUCUUCAACAAACUAAGAAAGAACCAGUGUAUGGCCCACUACAGCGUGUCCAGGUUAUUUACCUGAGGGACCGUAAGCCAACCUAUCACCCUGUGAACACUGCUGUGAGUUCACAAUUAUGGCUGAGUUAUGUACGGAAGCAAGAGAAGCGUCCGUCAACAAAUGACAGGGUUAAAUGGAGUGUGUGUGUAUAACGAAACUUUAGUCAGCUCUAAGGAAGAGCAGAAUCAUGCUGUUUGUUGAAGAACGGGUGUGACAGAAACUAACUAUAUGAAAUAAGUCAGCAAGAUAAGUGUCACACAUUUUUAGUCCUUUUGCACAUCCUUGGGUACACACACACACACAACACACCCUCACACACACUAAGGAAAAAAAAACUGGCUUCGAAGGACAAAAGGAGGCUACGAAAGGAAACAUAUUUGUUCGACUUUGAGGAAGAAGCCGAUUUGUCUGAAGGAGUCUGGGGACAGCCCUGCCUUUGUCUGAUAAGCCCUCUCUGCAAGUCCCUGUAAGCCAUAUGUGUUUAAGAUGUAGAGGAUCAGCUCAGGGGAUCAGCGCACAGCCCUGGAAGCGUUAGCAUGCGCUUCCUACUUUAAGCAGCUGUCUGGCAAAAUGGUCUGUCACUGUCAUAGGGCAGCCGAGCAUGAGAGUGCUUUGACAGUGCGAGUCUGUCUCAAUCCUUCCACCCAAACUCAAAGGAACGUCUUCCCAAAGGCCGAGGGCAGCCAUUCUUUGCAGCGGGAGUAAGCUCGGCUGAUGGCUUAAUCUGGAAGCCAAUUGGCUUUCAAGGAGACAUAACUCACUCCAUAUUUAGAGAAACGUUUGGAGUCUAUUGGGACUGCUUCGGGAGGGGAUUUGAAAACUUUGAAAAGGAACCUGAUAUGAACACUGACCGACUGGAAGACCUUCUGUCUUUCACAAGUGGGCACGUACCUGGCAGCCCUUGCUGGCUUGGCUUCAACUCCUAGAUCCCGGAUCAUGGAAGCCCUGGAGGGUCUGGCAGUUGGUUCCGGAGUCAACAAGAAGCAGGCAGCCACCACCAACCUAGAAGUAUUAUCAUGGUUUAACAGCAAUCCAAGCAAUGUCUCUGCUCCUGAAAUGGAACCUGGGCCUUGUUGGACGACGUGGGACAAAGGAGAGAGGCAGGUCCACUGUGGGGUCUGUCUGUGUUUAUAUGGUUGGCAGAGCGCGCUUUGAUGUCACCCUGAUGACGUCUGUCAUCUUCCCCACACCUGCUAUGGCAUGGCUGCCUUCAGUCACAAGCCUGAUUCACAGCACACUCUAUGUUUAGCAGCGCUCUGAGAAGGAUUCCAGUCUGCCUUCAGCCCUAAAUAGCUACAAAUAUCAGAGUAGCAGCGGCAGCCCUUCAAAGGCCUUUUUGGGAAGUGUCAUGCCAGAGAUGGGGUGACACAGAGGAGCCCCAGAAAGAAGCAAGAUGUCACCUGGAAACUGGAGGGAAAAAGAAGAAAUGAACCAGCGUCGACUGCUAAGAAGGUGAAGAAAUGAACCAGCGUCGACUGCUAAGAAGGUGAAGAAAUGAACCAGCGUCGACUGCUAAGAAGGUGAUAAAGUUGACCAUCUGUUCCUCAGUUACUUAUAGCACGGUCAUCGUCUGGAAAGUUGGAGACAAUGACUAGAAGACAAUGAAGGGACGAAAUACAAGGUGUCUGGUGCAGACUGAUAUGGCCAGGCACGUAAUUAAUGCCUCUUUAAAAGUGAACAAAAGCAGAGCAAGAAGUAAAAAACAAAGCGAUUACGCAUCAGCUGCUGAAACACUGUGUCCUAGCUUAAACGAGGCUGGAAAAAUGCUUCCACAGAGAACAGGAUGCUUGAGGACUCUAGCCUUUUCCCGGAGGGGCUGUAAUGGCUCCAGCCUCGCAGACGGGCUGCGCAGCGGCGCCAGCGAGCUCUGCUGCCCCCUGCUGGACGGAACGCGGGACUCGCGCCAGCCAGUCUGCGAGGCUCCCGCUGGCUCCCUGGGGACCCAGCACUCCUCCAGCAGGUUAUGCAACACCAGCUCACUUCAGGAAAGGAAACCAUCGACUUCAUGGAGCUUCCAAUGAGCCAGUGUUAAGAGUAAGGCGGAGACUAGAAAAUAGCACGCAUGUGUCCAGCCUUGGAGGCGCGUGUGUAAGGGGAGUGGACUAACUGAAAGGAAGCAGUGUAAAGAUUAGCCGCAGGGUAUGGUCUUCUAGUGACGCCGCACCUCAUGACCAGCUACUGACAUGGUGGGCGGCAGUGCUUCAUUUCCGGAGUGCAGCCCCAUCUUCUAGCUCCUUCAAGGUUAUAGAUCUUCUAGCUGUGUGACCUUCAAGGUUUUAAACUCUGACUGUUGGUGAACCAUAUCCAGUGGGUUGGUCUUUCCUAACAAGACACACAGUGAAGGCUUUAUAGAGAGGCAUAUUAAGGUGGAGCAGGGCUAUUCCCUCCUUUUACUGUUCAGAAAUAAUAAACAUUUUGAUAUUUCCAGUAUUCGUCCGGAUCACCAUAUCUUUAGAGGAAUUUUUCUUCUAUUUGGACCGACCCUUUGGAGUUUUACCUUUUGGGGUUUUACUGAUGUGAAGGAGGGGUCGUGGUGGUGGUGGCCGUUCACUCUUGUCCAAUCUGGAUGUGGAUUAAUGGUGUUUUCCAGCCCAUAAAAUAUUUUAAAAUUUUUAUUUCACACGGGGUUAUGAAGCAUCGCUGCCUUUACGACAGCUCGACUGGAACUUUCAAAAUUAAAAAUGACAGGAACUGAAAGUUGUCAUAGAGAUUCCAAGGCACUACCAUUCUCUUAUUCUGUAGACGAUGUUCUGCGCUUUUCAACCAAGUAAGAAUAGAUCUCUGGAGAUGAGAAGAUGACCACCACGUGUCUUUUCCCAGUCUUUGGAUGGUACCUUUCACAUCCUGGAAGGGAGAAAGCUGAGUCACCACCACAGAGUCUGAACCUGAUUAUCAUAUUCAGUAGCCACUGCCAAGCAUACAUUAGCACCUCUCCCAGAACUACUCUCUGUCUGCACAGGGCACCUGGACACUCUGCUCAUGAGAAUGCAAUACCCAACAUGAGUCAAGAAAGCCCAAAGACGUCCACCCUGAUCUGGUGAUAGAUGACACCUGACCUCCUUAGCCAAUAUGCAGACUGAGACUGUAUCUGGCAGAGUUUCUGGCUGCAGAACCCUUGACCGUCAGAAGUGAAUGAAAGUUUGGUAAGCUGUGCUGGAGCACUGCCAGUGUGCGGUGCUGUGAGCCGCCCUCACAGGAUUUCAGGGAAGAACUGUGGGGAGGAGGCACUGAAUGCCUUAGAUGCAGCGGGGAGAAAACCCUUCCUCCUACACCCUUAAAACAGAGCGAAAGGAAACAAAAUAAUAAAACUAAUAACAAAAUAACAAAAUAAUACCCCCCCACAAGCUACACCCUUACUUUUCUGGUCUCACCUGCUGCUUUCCUUAGGAGAUAGUUUCAAUGGAAAAGAUUCUAAAGUUCAUGUGUUCGAAAGCUUCUUGACCUUGCAGUUGGCGAUGAUCUUUGGGGGGUUAUGGAACUGUGGCUGGGGUCACUGGGAGCCAGGUCUUUGGGGUCACAGCUCUGCCCUAUUUUUGGACCCAGUCUCUCUGUGUGUCAUCUGUCAAGAAGUGAGCAAGCUCUCCUACACUCCUUCUGCUCUGGUUCACCUCCACCAAUACCCGUACUCUCAACCCAGGGGUGAAAAUUCCUUUCUCCUUCAGUGUGCUUCUUCCUGGGCAUUUGGUAGCAGCAAUUUCAAAAGCUAAGCUACCUUACUAGUAUGAGCUUCAGUGGUUUACACCAGGUAGGUCGAGGGAAAGGUAAAACUUGGGAUUUGCUCAAAACAUGGCCACACACACACACACACCUGAUGCUCGACACACACAGCCAGGCACACCUGAUGCCAGAAAGGGUGAGGUGGGGAUGUCAGAAAGUCCUGGGAGGAACCCAGGCUGUGUUCUAGGCACAUAUCUAUAGCUCAUAGUUUGUGUGUUCUUGGAAGACACAGAAGUAUUAUAAACUCGUAAAUAGAAUUGCAUAAGACUGUACUCAUGACAUAAAUGAUUCCUCACACGAGCGAACCAAGAAAGCCCAAAGAUGUCUACCCUGAACUGCAGAUAAAACAUCAUCAGACCUCCUUAGUUAGACGCCGCUGACACACAUUCGGAGAUCUUAUCCGGCAGAGUUUCCAGGCGUACGGAAGGUGGAUUGAGUUCAGGAUGAAUGAACUAUUGAACAGUGGAGCUCAGGGAGUGGGCGAUGGAUUAGUGGACAAAAAUAGCCCUGGACACCUGUGUAAAUCCUUGGUGAUCUGAUCUACGCCAUAAAAACCAGACAGUGGGCAUCUGUAACUCAUAAUAAGUCCUUUCUAACAUCACUGAGGUUAUCUUAAAGAGCCUCUUGGUGCUCCCCUCCCCCAUAGCUUUAGAGUGGGGCCAGGCUGCUAACUGCGCCAACGCUGCAUUUGGAGGGCUGUGACUUGCAGCCUGACCUCCUGGAACUGAGUGGAGCAGCAAUCAACAAUGACUUUGUAAGCUGAUCCCUGCUACAGACCGUACAAAAUCCUCAACGGGGAGAGCUGCUUACCUACAGAGGUCACAGGAGCUCUGUGCUCACCACCCCUAAUGCCCGUGUUCCUUGAAGUUGGCUGUUCCUGAGUUGUAUCUUUUGAAGUGAACUGACAUUGAUUCCUUUGGAAACUUGGAUGGCAUCGUUUAAUCUGUGGAGUGGGAAAAAGGAGACGAAGGAAGGAAGAGGAGAGGAGACCAUAAAGUAAGCGGAUCUAACCUCCGUAUCUGCACUGCCAUUCCAUUUUCAAGUUUUGUUUCUUUGCUUUCAGAAGACCGUAGUGUUGGGAAGAUAGGAAAAUGUUGGGGCAUAUGUCAGCGCACAGCAGACAAAGACAGGAGGAUGUUACAGGGCUCCAUAAAGAGCAGAGUAUCGAAGGGGGGAAAGAGAAAUCCAGGCCAAAAGAGUGCUGAGAAAAAUGUUUAUUAUUAAAAAUUGGCAGUAGCCCUGGGUUCGGUCCCCAGCUCCGAAAAAAAGAACCAAAAAAAAAAAAUUGGCAGUAGAAGAAUCAAAACACCUAAAUAAUUCAAUUAUCUUACAAGUUUUUAAGCAUAUUAUCAAAACAUUGUUAUUAGCCCCUGAAUAAUUCGUUUGGAGCAAAUUAUAUCAAAGAAUUAUUUCAAGAUUUUAAGUAUAUAAUUCACUAUCUUUCAUAAAUGUUUUUACAACACAGGGAAAAUGUAGAUAAAUUCAAUCUUAACGUAUUCCCUAAUAAGCAGAAUAUUGCUGUUAGUGAAUACCUUCCAGUUUUCCAAAUUGUUCUCCCUGUUUCCUUUCCUUUCCUUUCCUUUCCUUCCCUUUCUUUUCUUUUCCUUCCCUUCCCUUCCCUUUCUUUUCUUUUCCUUCCCUUUCCUUCCUUCCUUCCUUCCUUCCUUCCUUCCUUCCUUUCUCUCUCUUUCUUUCUUUCUUUCUUUCUUUCUCCCUUCCUUCCUUCCUUCCUUUCUUUCUUUCUUUCUUUCUUUCUUUCUUUCUUUCUUUCUUUCUUUCUUUCUCUCUUCUUCUCCCACACACAGAGACAUACUGACAAGCAUGAGUUGAUAGCUCAGGAUUUCUAUAAACACCUGUGGUGGUUUGAAAUGAAAAUGGCCCCAUGGGCUUACAGGAGGUGGUACUUUUAGGAGGUGUGGCCUUGUCACUGGGGCCUGGCUUUGAGGUUUCAAAGCUCAACCGGGCCCAGUGUCUCUCUCUCCCUGCUGCUUGCAGAUCCUGAUGUAGAGCUCUCAGCUUACUCUCCAGCACCAUGCCUGCCUGCAUGCCACCAUGCUUCCUGCCGUGCGGAUAACGCAUGGAAUAUCUGAAAUGCUUUCCUUUGUAAGAGUUGCUGUGGUCAUGGUACCUCUUCUAAGGUACAGAACAGUAACCAAGACCGUCCUAUUAAAUACUCUAAAGCAAAUUGUUUGUUUGUUUAGAGACAAGGUUUCUCUGUGUAAUAACCCUUGCUAUCCUGGACUCAUUUUGUAGAGCAGGCUGUCCUUGAACUCACAGAGACCCAAAUGACUCAGCUUCCCAAGUGCUGGGAUUAAAGGCAUGUACCACCAUGCCAGGCCAGCCAGAAAGCAACAUUUUUUUAACAGUUUUAAAAUGACAAUUUACUGUAGCCUACAACACCAUUUAAUACCUGAAAACUUGAUUAUGUAUUAUGUUAUUAAUCAUAAAAAAUGUAUUGAUGAGCAUGAAAAUGUUUUUGAUAAAACUUAAAAACAAUUACUAUAUAUAUAUAUAUAUAUAAAAGAAUAGAAAGAUACUUUUCAAGAGCAUACAGAAAUUUCCCCCAAGCCAAUAGACAGCAGUGUAUUUAGUUGUGCAAACUACAAACAUUACUGUUAAAAUCAUAAGCAGGAAGCACAUUAUCAUGAUUAAUUUGCAACAUUAUAGAAUAUAUGGCUAAUUUAAUUAAUAUUAAUGAAGACUAGCUAGCAAUGGGAAAAGAACAUGUUAUAAAAAUACCCUCAGAAUAUGAAAAUUAUUAAAAAUAAAAUAUGUAUAUAUGUGUUAUUUUGGAAUACAUAGGGAAGACAGUAAAUUAGGUGCAUGUGAAGCAAACAUAGAAAACGGCUUCUUUAUAUACAUCACUGAGAAUUUAAAAUAAGGACCAACCUCCCUAUUAAUACUACCAAAGAAGUCAUAAACUAUGCAUGGAUAAUACAUGAGGAAAUUAAUAUGUUAUGCAUGACUCUACUGUACUGAGGAUUACAUAGAUGUGGAAAAUUUUGCUCUAUUUCUUUAUGAGAAGACUUAAUACUGUAAAGAUUUGAAGAUGUUAAAUAAAAUCCAAUUCUUCAACUCAAGAGUUUUCUCUGUUAACUCAUCAAAAUGGUGCUAGAAUAUAUAGGGAAAGACGGAGGCGUGUAGCAGAAACAGCAUUUCAAUAAGGAAAGCGAAUUGAUAUGUCUCUCCAGUGGAAACCCGCCACUGGCGAUAAACAGCAAACUCACCGGUAAAACCCUCAGUGAGUCGUCUGACAACGGCCCAUGAGAAUCCCUAGAAAAAAAAUUGUCUGUCCAGGCUGGUGCACUAACCAAUGAUACUUCAGUGACUAUGGAACCUAGAAUGGUGCUGAACCAAUAGACGACCAUUUCUCUUGGGGUCUCUUUAGCUCCCAAAGAGCCAUGCCCUGUGUACCAGGGUUGCAGACCUAACAUUCUAAUGAACAAAUAAAAACCUCUGGAAUGUCUGAACUUGACGAUUCUGUUGACACACCAACGGAAAGCCUCGCUGAGAGCUCACUGGAUCCGGGAAGUUGCUAAUAAAAACCCAGGCGGGGAUGGCACCUGCAGACAACUCACUCUACCUAGCCGUCAGAGCUGGCCUGGAAGAACAAAGGCUUUCUGGGGAGCUGCAAAUCACACAUUGAUCUUGCCCGAGAGUAUCUUUCCUUAGCGAUGAGAAGCUGGAAUAAAACGAAGUGGAAUGAAAAGCGGCAAGCAGAGGCCCUGAAGACUCCCACAGAAAUCCUGGUUCUGCAGAUUUACCUGUGCCGUGGGACCCACCUGUGUGGGACGAGGCACUUCUUGUUGAGCGUUCUGCUGCUCCAGAGUGCUUCAGCAUUACGUGUGGAAAGCAGAGACUUGAGGAAAAAUCAGUCAAACGAGAGCAUUGCAUAACUCGGACCACUGGAAAAUCCAUUCCCCCUUUAGGCAUCCCAAUGAGGGCAGUAACAACUAAGCAUGUUCCGGCUGUCGUGCUUACUCUAAUGCUGGCACUGGGGAGGAGAGGAGGCAAGUGCAUCCUAGGAGUUUGCUAGCAAGUGAGCCAGCUUCACCCCCUCACGCCACUCCCGGUGAGUUCCAGGCUAGUGGGAGACCGUAUCUCAAUAAACAAGGUGGUCAGAAUGGA